rnacentral:lncRNA from 1 species
CGUCAGCGAGUUUAACCAGGAUUGAGUAAGGAGACAUAUUGGGGAAGGAAAGGACUUGCAUCGCGAAAACCAGGAUCCAGUUAGGAGACAUAUUGAGGAAGGAAAGGACUUGCAUUGCGAAAACCAGGAUCGAGUUAGGAGACAUAUUGGGGAAGGAAAGGACUUGCAUCGCGAAAACCAGGAUCGAGUUAGGAGACAUAUUGGGGAAGGAAAGGACUUGCAUCGCGAAGAUAAUGAUGAUGAUGCUGAUGGCGUCAGUGAGUUAAACCAGGAUGGAGUAAGGAGACAUAUUGGGGAAGGAAAGGACUUGCAUCGCGAAAACCAGGAUCGAGUUAGGAAACAUAUUGGGGAAGGAAAGGACUUGCAUCGCAAAGAUAAUGAUGAUGAUGCUGAUGGCAUCAGCGAGUUUAACCAGGAUUGAGUAAGGAGACAUAUUGGAGAAGGAAAGGACUUGCAUCGCGAAAACCAGGAUCGAGUUAGGAAACAUAUUGGGGAAGGAAAGGACUUGCAUCGCAAAGAUAAUGAUGAUGAUGCUGAUGGCAUCAGCUAGUUUAACCAGGAUUGAGUAAGGAGACAUAUUGGAGAAGGAAAGGAUUUGCAUCACGAAAACCAGGAUCGAGUAAGGAGACAUAUGUUGAUGAUGCUGAUGAUGAUGUUGUUGUUGUUGUUGUUGAUGAUGAUGCUGCUGCUGAUGAUGAUGUUGUUGUUGUUGAUGAUGACGAUGAUGAUGGUGUCAGCGAGUUAAAUCAGGAUUGAGUAAGGAGACAUAUUGGAGAAGGAAAGGACUUGCAUCACGAAAACCAGGAUCGAGUUAGGAAACAUAUUGGGGAAGGAAAGGACUUGCAUCACGAAAACCAAGAUCGAGUUAGGAGACAUAUUGGGGAAGGAAAGGACUUGCAUCGCGAUGAUGAUGCUGAUGGCGUCAGUGAGUUAAACCAGGAUGGAGUAAGGAGACAUAUUGGGGAAGGAAAGGAUUUGCAUCGCGAAAACCAGGAUCGAGUUAGGAGACAUAUUGGGGAAGGAAAGGACUUGCAUCGCAAAGAUAAUGAUGAUGAU